GGGGAGGGUUGGGAUCCCGCUAACAUGUUUAACCCCGCCACAUUAUUCAUGUAUGUGCCUGUCCCAAGUCAGGAGCCUGUAAUUCAGUGGUUGUCGUUUGUUUAUGUGUUACAUAUUUGUUUUUCGUUCAUUUUUUUACAUAAAUAAGGCCGUUAUUUUACUCGUUUGAAUUGUUUUACAUUGUCUUAUCGGGGCCUUUUAUAGCUGACUAUGCGGUAUGGGCUUUGCUCAUUGUUGAAGGCCGUACGGUGACCUAUAGAUGUUAAUGUCUGUGUCAUUUUGGUCUUUUGUGGAUAGUUGUUUCAUUGGCAAUCAUACCACAUCUUCUUU
rnacentral:lncRNA from 1 species